CCGUACAAUCAAAAAAAAAAAAAAAAAAAACCUUGCUAUACGUAGAAAGAGAGAGACAGAAAUUGUUGCCCCGUUCGUUGUCUGCCCCAUCCCUUCUCUACUCUGUUCAUUCGCUGCCCCAUCCUCUCUCUUCAACAGUGUAUUCGGAAGUUUUUUUACAGAGUCGGGUCUAAAAUAUCCCACUGUCAAGGUGGGAUGCAAAAUUGGGUGUGGACACACAGCUUGAGGCCAUUCACAGUGAAAGCUCCUACCUAUGCCAUGGAGCUUUUUUAAGAGCAUGCUCUUAGACAAAAAGAAAAACGCUGAGAUGAAAAUAGCUGAAACACAGGAAGAAGAAAAAACGCUAGCUUUUUUCUUCAGUGCGCACCAAAACAGCAGAGGAUCAUCCAAGAAGGUUUGCCGACGUCGAACUAGGUUCUUUUUAAGGCUGUACAGGCACUGCCCGCCACCAACAAAACUGGCCAGAGCCGAACCGAUCUGCCCACCUCAAACCUCCACCGCAGGUGUUAGGCACGGUGGUUGGCAGUAAUUUUCAAGCACCAACGUCGGCCAGUACGGUUGUUGACAAAGGUUUUUGGAUUCCGGUGAACACCGAACUGCACCGAUUUGCUUAUAUAUAUACAAAACUUGAGAUUUCUACCCACUGCUAAUCAACCCAUGAUUCAUCUUCUUGAAACCCAGCAAACCCAUCAAUUGAGAAGAUCAAAACAGUGAAACCAAAACCAUAUGUGAACAAAAAUCAAACCCAUGUGAAAAAAAAUCAAACCCAUCAAACGAUCAAACCCAGCAACCGGAACCGAUCAACCCAUCCACCAAGCAAACACAAAUCAAACCCAUUAAAACAACCCUGAACCGAUCAACCCAUCCACCACUGAGGGAACCCGAUCUUCGCCAGCAUUGGACUGGGUUGCCUUCCUCAGCUCUUCGUCGACGUUGGACCGAUGUAGGCGGGCAUGGACCUCUCUUCUCGAAGACACAGGCGUUCAGGUGGGUGAGGAGUUAAAAAAAAGGUAAAAACGCAACCCUUUCAGCUGAGCUAUAGUACCUGUAUCAAAAAAUAUCAUCCGUGUUUUUUAACUUAUUUGCUAUAGUGUUUUCAGUUUCAGCAAAAAUAAGUUGUAUUCAAACGGACCCAUUGUGUCUUUUAUAUCAUAGAGGUGUAAUAAUGUAUAUUUUCUUUAUCUGUAAGCAGUCAAUUUACGUAUCUGUAAAGGUUAGGUCCUUUCGUAGUAGUAUUCUGGUUAUGUUAUAUAUUAUAAGCCUAUAUAAAAAACUCUAUAUACUACUUUCGUGUUUGUGUGUUCUAAUAAAUAUUAUUUUUUUCUCAAAAAAAAAAAAUUUACGUAUUUGCAAGCAAAUUUAGGAAGGACAAGUGAAAUGAUUUGUUGGCGUAAUGUAGUUGAGAAGAUUUUGGAUUCAUAAAUCAACUUUUUUUUUUAAUGUGAGUUAAUGUAAUUUUUUUUUAAUUCAAGGUUUUCUUAUAAAUUGUUCAAUAUACAUUUGGCAGUUAAACAGAUUCAUUUAGAAUUGAAUAAAUUUUUUAUUUCAGUUAUUUUCAAUAAUUGAAAUUUAGUUUGCUUUUGGACGAAUUCUGUCAGUUCAACAGCAAUAAUUUAGUGCAGAAAAAUUUAAGGUGGUGUUUUUUUUUUUUUUUUUUUUUUUUUCAUUAAGGUUUGAUUUUUGGUUUUUCCACGUUUAAAUUUUUCCUCUUAAAGUGUUUGUACCAAUAGAAAUUAAAAUAUUAUUUCUUUGUAUUUAUCCAUUAGAAUUUUACCUUAUAUUAUUAGUCAAUAUGUUCUCCUUAGUUUUCAUGAUUGUUAUAGAUCAACAAAAAUAGUUUGAGUGGAUUAUGAAUAGAAGUACACUUCUACUAAAGAAAACAAUUUUUGGAACAUGAAGCUCAAAAGGUUGUAUUAGUUUCUAUCAUUUCAAACGUUACAUUCAAAUAGGCCUUCAUUAUGCUAUUGCCACUAGUUGGACAACAAUCACCCAUUUAGCACACCAAAGAAUCCAUUUUGUUCCUAUUGUGUAUACCUUUGUAGUUGGCAUGUUCAAGAUGGACUAAAUUUAAGGGGGUUCUACAUAUGUGCUAUAGUUUUUGCAUGCGAAUGAUGAUGGCUCAAUUCAUCCAAGUGGAACGGAGCUGACAUUUAUAGUGCAUCAGGACUAGCUAGAAUAUGGCUUAGCUCACUAGAUGUAUUUUUGGGUUAAUGAGUUCUCAGACUUUAUUUUCGACUACAGGGAAUUUUGGACUUUUGACAUUGUUAUUGAACUUGACCCUAUAUUGCUCAAUUGUCAUUUUUGUUUUUUGAAUUGAUUGGCAUUAUUAAAACAAAGCCUUUAAUAAACAUAUUAAUUGCUGUAUUUUUAUUGUAUUGUUAUGUUAAAUUGAUGGUAUUUUAAAUGUGUAAAACGUUCCCCCGCACAUUGUGCGGAUUCUAGUAAUAACUAAUAAUCAAAACGUUUGACUUUUUGUUGACUGCUCCUCAUUGUGUCAUGUGGCUACAUAAAUUGCAGUUAAAUUUACAUUCUAAAACAUCGAACAGUUGUGCCUUUUCAAUAUUUCUAUUCACAAUUACACCUAUUCUGAAUCAGUGCUAGUGCGCCUAUAAAUAGGCAUCCUUCAUUUCAUUUUAAAAGGUUAGUUUUUUCAUUCAUUUAUAAGAGUCUUCAGAGAGAGAGAGACACAGUUCUAUUCGUUGUGCACGGGAAUUGUAGUGCUUCUUUUACGUGUUGUUCAUCAUUUUAUCUUGGUCAGUUUUAUAUCAACCAUUUUGUAUUCAUUUGAUCCGUAAGUUUUACUUUAUUUCUCUUAUACAUUCACACAGAUUUGUACAUAUAUUGUUUAUUGAUCUUAUUUACAAAAGUAAAUUAAUUGUGUAAUAAUAUCCAAUAAUCUUAAGAAAAAUCAAGUUUGAAAGUCUAGAGAAGUGAUUUUCUAAGCAAUAAAUGGUGUGGAAGAAGAGAAAAUUCAAGAGAGAUGAAAGCUUGUGAAUAGUAACAAUAGAGGAAGAAGGAAUAGAAGAGAGAAAUGAGCAAAAAAAAAAAAAAAAA